GCUGCGCAUGCGUAGGAUCGGACCUUCCGCGCAUGCGUAGGAUCGGACCUUCCGCACAUGCGCGAGGGGACGGCGAUGGAGUCCGGAGAGAGGAGGAAGCUGCCACUUGUCCCAGAGAACCUGCUGAAGAGGAGGAAAGCUUAUCAAGCUAUUAAAGCUACCCAGGCCAAACAAGCCUUACAGGAAAAGCGAAAGCUUCAGAAGGGGAAGCAGAUUCGUUUUAAGCGGGUUGAGAAUUUUAUAAAAGACUCCAGGCGGAAAUACCGGGAUGAAGUCAGAUUUGUUCGGAUGGCAAAGAAGCCGGUGAGGGCUGAUGUGCCCGAGGGCCAGAAGCUGGCCUUUGCAGUGCGGCUCAGACCGAUUCAUGGGGUCAGCCCUAAAGUGCGGAAAGUUGUUCAGAUGUUACGGCUCCGAAAGAUCUACAGUGGAGCAUUUGUGAAGUUGAAUAAGACAUCGUUGAAGAUGCUUAAGGUGGUGGAGCCCUAUGUUGCUUGGGGGUUUCCUAAUUUAAAAUCUAUCCGUGAACUUAUUUUGAAACGGGGUCAAGCAAAAGUCAACAAGAAACGUGUGCCUCUAACCGACAACUCAAUCAUCGAGGAACACCUGGGAAAGUGGGGAUUGAUUUGUCUUGAGGAUUUGAUAUGUGAGAUCUACACAGUAGGAAAAUACUUUAAGGAGGCCCGCAAUUUUCUCCGGCCCUUCAGGCUCUCAGUAGCUCGACACGCAGCAAGGAAUAAAAUGGGAUUUCUCAAUGAAUUUGGAGAGACUGGACACCGUGGAAAAGAAAUCAACAAGCUCAUUCGUCAGCUCAAUUAAAGUGGAGGACACGUCUAACGUGCCAAAGAGAGAUGUUAUGGAUGCCAUGGGAGCUGAGGACCUCGCUACAGUCGCUGUCACAGAAGAGAUCCCUUAUAGAUAAAUGGCCAAGUAUGGGAUUUGCCCACCUAUACUAUGUAUAGUAAACCUCUACAGACUGAUAUUCAGCUUUAAGAUGUUCUUAUCUCAGACACAGUGGAAGGCAAGAUCAUCAGCAGAGACUGUCCAGUGCCCAGAUUAACUGAUGACCCAGGGCUGGAAGGAGAUCCUGUUCUGGCUGAAGAAAGCAGCAACCAUAAAGGAAUAGGAACGUCUACAAAUUGUUGCAAGCAGACUUUGACGACUUGAGAUUUGCAUUAAAAUUGUUAGUGGAUUUGAAUUUCUGUUAAAUAUCAGAUUAUUGACAAAAAUCUGAUUCACAAAUCAGUGGAGUUUGUUGAUCUUUAAUGGUGUGAAGUUUUUGUUCAUUUAUUUGGGUUAUAUGCAUCACUGGUUACAUUAGUUUUCAAUUUGCCAUCCUUGAUUGCUCUCGAGUAGAUGGUGGUGAGCUACCUUGAAGGCACUUGCAUGUUACUAUUGAGCUGGAUUCUUGGAUUUAAACCAACAGCAGCAGAGGAAAAAUAAACCUUUUUAAGUCAGAAUAGUGUGCAGCUUGGAACCCUCGUCCUCAGUGGUAGCGGUCAUGGAUUUGGGAAAUCCUGCGAGAAUAACUGCAGUGCAUUUUGUAGAUCCUGCAUGCUAUAGUUGAAGUGUACACUAGUGAGGGAAUGACUGCGAGAGUGUGAAUGAUAUGCCAGUCAAAUAGCUUGCUUUGGCCUGUAUGAUUUCAAACUCGAGUUGUUGAAAAUGCACUCAUCCAGGAGAGUAUUCCAUCACUCUCAUGGCAUGCCUUGAAGAUGGCUUUGGGGAAUCUGGAGCUGAGUCCCUUUCUAUGGGAAACCCAAACUCUUGACCUGCUGUUAUAACUAUGGUAUUAUAAUUAUGUCAAUGAAUUUCAAGGAGAGCUGCUAAAAUGGUCAUUGGGACUAUUUUGUGAAUAUCACUUGCCACAUCAGCCUAUGCCUGAACCUUAUUCUGCAAAAUAGUCAUUGGUUGCUUCAUUUGAUGAGAAAAGUGAGUUGAAUCGAAUCCAUGCAAUCAUUAUUGCACUUUGACACAAUAGAUGGAAAGUCAUAGAUGAAGCAGCUGAAUGUAGUUGGACCUCAGUGCCCUGAGGAAUUCCUGUAGUAAUGUCCUUUGGGCUGGUUGAUUGACUAGCAAUUAUCUUCCUUUGUACAUUGAGUGAUUCCAACCAUUGGCAUUGAGUUGUACAGCACUGAAAUAGGCCCUUCAGCCCACCACACCAUGCUGACCUUUUUGCCCAUUUACACCAAUCCCAUUUGCCCUCAUUAGGUUCAUAUCCUCCUCUGCCUUGCCUAUUUAAUUACCAGUCUAAGUCUCUCUUAAAUGUAGUGAUUGUAUCUGAUUACCAUGGGGGAGGGGGGUGGAAUUCUGAAUAUCUACCCCAUCUGCCUCUAAUUUUAUCAACCUCCAUCAGGUAACCCCUCAGCCUCCUGCAUUCCUCUUGAUAUAUGCCAACUUCAGUUUUCCCUUGGUGCAACACUAACAAGUGAUGCCUUGAUGGCAAGGUCUGAAAUCAAUCAUUUUGGGCCAUGUUUGGACUAAGCUGGUGAAGAGGUCUGAACCCUAUUUGCCCUUGCAAAAGCCAAAUUUCCACAUUGAUGAAAAAAUGUUGUAGAUGCUGGAAAUCAAAUAAAUGUUAAAAUGUAAAACUUGCAGCAUUUGUGGAGAUAGAAAUAAAGUUAACAUUUACGCUGAAAGUCA